GAUAUACUCUCUCUGUUUCAUAAUUCUUGUCGAAAUUUUACAUGUAUUUAGACAUUUUUUAGGAAUAUAUACAUCCAUUUUUUGGUAAAUUUGAGACAAGAAUUAUGAAACGGAGAGAGUACAUU
rnacentral:pre_miRNA from 1 species